rnacentral:rRNA from 1 species
CCGGCGCACGGGUGAGUAACGCGUAUCCAACCUGCCUUACACUCUUGGACAGCCUUCUGAAAGGAAGAUUAAUCCAGGAUGGGAUCAUGAGUUCACAUGUCCGCAUGAUUAAAGGUAUUUUCCGGUAGACGAUGGGGAUGCGUUCCAUUAGAUAGUAGGCGGGGUAACGGCCCACCUAGUCAACGAUGGAUAGGGGUUCUGAGAGGAAGGUCCCCCACAUUGGAACUGAGACACGGUCCAA